ensembl:snoRNA SNORA44 small nucleolar RNA, H/ACA box 44
UGGCAUGUUUCCAAGGGCUGUGGCCUGUUGUGGCCAUGGGAUCUCCAACUGCAUGCGAGAGCAACGUGGAGAGACUUUGACAGCACAGGUCAGCAUAAUACCUGCAGCUGCCACUCGCCUUUCCUAUAAUC